GAUGAACGCUGGCGGCGUGCCUAAUACAUGCAAGUCGAGCGAACGGACGAGAAGCUUGCUUCUCUGAUGUUAGCGGCGGACGGGUGAGUAACACGUGGAUAACCUACCUAUAAGACUGGGAUAACUUCGGGAAACCGGAGCUAAUACCGGAUAAUAUUUUGAACCGCAUGGUUCAAAAGUGAAAGACGGUCUUGCUGUCACUUAUAGAUGGAUCCGCGCUGCAUUAGCUAGUUGGUAAGGUAACGGCUUACCAAGGCAACGAUGCAUAGCCGACCUGAGAGGGUGAUCGGCCACACUGGAACUGGGACACGGUCCAGGCUCCUACGGGAGGCAGCAGUAGGGAAUCUUCCGCAGUGGGCGAAAGCCUGACGGAGCAACGCCGCGUGAGUGAUGAAGGUCUUCGGAUCGUAAAACUCUGUUAUUAGGGAAGAACAUAUGUGUAAGUAACUGUGCACAUCUUGACGGUACCUAAUCAGAAAGCCCCGGCUAACUACGUG
rnacentral:rRNA from 1 species